rnacentral:rRNA from 1 species
CCUACGGGCGGCAGCAGUAGGGAAUAUUGCUCAAUGGGGGAAACCCUGAAGCAGCAACGCCGCGUGGGGGAUGAAGGUUUUCGGAUUGUAAACUCCUUUUGUUAGAGAAGAUAAUGACGGUAUCUAACGAAUUAGCACCGGCUAACUCCGUGCCAGCAGCCGCGGUAAUACGGAGGGUGCAAGCGUUACUCGGAAUCACUGGGCGUAAAGAGGGCGUAGGCGGGAUAGCAAGUCAGAUGUGAAAUCCUAUGGCUUAACCAUAGAACUGCAUUUGAAACUGUUAUUCUAGAGUAUGGGAGAGGUAGGUGGAAUUCUUGGUGUAGGGGUAAAAUCCGUAGAGAUCAAGAGGAAUACUCAUUGCGAAGGCGACCUGCUAGAACAUAACUGACGCUGAUGCGCGAAAGCGUGGGGAGCAAACAGGAUUAGAUACCCCGGUAGUC